rnacentral:sRNA from 1 species
AUUGGUUUCCCAGACUGGGAGUAGGUAGGAGGGUCCUCUGAGUGAAAGCAUGUGAGUCAAUAGCCCGGACGCAAGGUGUCCACAAACGCUGUUCAGCGGAGAGUGCAAGAAAUAGUGCGGUUCACACGGCAGCUGCAGCGAGUCCACCCCAACGUGCUUGCUAAGGCACUGACCCGAGGAAUUCUCCACCAGGACAAGAACCUUGUGGUCAUCAAUAAGCCCUACGGUCUCCCUGUGCAUGGUGGUCCUGGGGUCCAGCUCUGCAUCACUGAUGUACUACCUAUCCUGGCAAAGAUGCUUCAUGGCCACAAGGCAGAGCCCUUGCAUCUGUGCCACCGGCUGGACAAGGAAACCACAGGCGUAAUGGUGUUGGCUUGGGACAAGGACAUGGCACAUCAAGUCCAAGAGUUGUUUAGAACCCGUCAGGUGGUAAAGAAGUACUGGGCCAUCACUGUGCGUGUCCCCAUGCCCUCAGCAGGAGUUGUGGACAUCCCCAUUGUGGAGAAGGAGGCGCAAGGCCAGCAGCAACACCACAAGGUGGGUGAGCAGCCUCCCUGAGGCAUGGGUUGCUGCUCUUCCUUGGGAAUCAUAUCUUGAUUUCUUUGGCUUCAGAUGACAUUGUCCCCAAGCUACCGCAUGGACGAUGGGAAAAUG